UACGGAGGGUGCAAGCGUUAUCCGGAUUCACUGGGUUUAAAGGGUGCGUAGGCGGGCAGGUAAGUCAGAGGUGAAAUCUCCGGCUUAACCCGGAAACUGCCUUUGAUACUAUCUGUCUUGAAUAUGGUGGAGGUAAGCGGAAUAUGUCAUGUAGCGGUGAAAUGCUUAGAGAUGACAUAGAACACCCAUGCGAAGGCAGCUUACUACGCCUAUAUUGACGCUGGAGGCACGAAAGCGUGGGGGAUCAAAA
rnacentral:rRNA from 1 species